CCUACGGGAGGCUGCAGUGGGGAAUAUUGGACAAUGGGGGCAACCCUGAUCCAGCAAUGCCGCGUGAGUGAUGAAGGCCUUCGGGUUGUAAAGCUCUUUCGCCCGCGACGAUGAUGACGGUAGCGGGAGAAGAAGCCCCGGCUAACUUCGUGCCAGCAGCCGAGGUAAUACGAAGGGGGCGAGCGUUGUUCGGAAUCACUGGGCGUAAAGGGCGCGCAGGCGGUCCUUUAAGUCUGAUGUGAAAGCCCACGGCUCAACCGUGGAGGGUCAUUGGAAACUGGGGGACUUGAGUGCAGGAGAGAAGAGUGGAAUUCCACGUGUAGCGGUGAAAUGCGUAGAGAUGUGGAGGAACACCAGUGGCGAAGGCGACUCUUUGGCCUGUAACUGACGCUGAGGCGCGAAAGCGUGGGGAGCAAACAGGAUUAGAUACCCUUGUAGUC
rnacentral:rRNA from 1 species